GGGAAGGUGGCUCAGUGGUAGAGUGCUUGCCUUGCAUGCAUGAGGCCCUGGGUUCCAUUCCUCAGCAUCUCA
rfam:Dipodomys ordii contig_18805, whole genome shotgun sequence.